UUAAAAGUAAAGGCUCAAAUAUAAAAACAUUUACCCUGGAUACUCAUAAAUACUGUGACCUGUUGUGUGCUGGUUUUGUUAUUUAUUUAAAUUUCAGUUUGUAUAAAAGUUAAGUUGCUUUGGUUGUGUAGGAGCUCGCGGGCGCUCGCUUUCCGCUUUCGGUGUUACUACCGCUAAGUGUCUAAAAGCCGCGCCCCCCAAUUGAACGAGCGGCUAGAUUAACCGUGGCUUCAGGAAGAGCGGCUGGCUUAACCGCAGUGACAUCCUCCCAAAUAACCUCAGAAACGUCUAGUAAAAUGGAUAAUACUAAUUUAAACCAGCAAGCUGGAUGGGUGGAGAGGUAUGCUGAUCUAGCAGUGCUAAAAGCCUUUCUAUAGAUCAGGAGGCUCCCCUUCCAAUCAAGUUGGAAUGCAAGCAAAUAGCCUUUAAGAAUGCCCUUGACAAAAGAAGAAAGCAUUGCAAUCAUUCUCAUGGCUGAAUCAGGAAGCUGUCGCAAGGUUACGAUGGACUUUAACAGGAAACAUGGCAAGCAACACUGCUGCCAAACUUAUUAACAAAUUCAAAAAGACUGGAAAUGUUGUGGACCAACCGAGAAGUGGAUGUCCACGAACAUCCACUGAUGAAGGCACAACCGCUGUAGUGCUGACAUAGAUAGUCCCCUAUGUAUGGAAAUGUUUGGGACACCCUGUAGUAUCAUUACAAUAAGUGCUUUGCAUGCAAGAGAUCUAAUAUUUAACAGUCCUAGCUUCAGCUAAAAGGUACUGGCUGUGCAUUCAGUAUGAUCUAAUUUUAUGUCCCAUGUUCUCCUUCAAUGGUUUUUCUUUAUUUUUAUUAUUUUCAACAUUGUACAUUA